GCGCCGCGGGGAUGGAGGGGCCGGGGCCGCAGCGGGCCCGGCGCAGCCACGGCCCCGGCAGAAGUUGGUGCCGAACGGGCUGAGGCUGUGCCUGCAGCCACGGGUUUCUUUGUGCGUCUGUCUGUCAGCACUUUGGGUGACAUUCCCUUCGCCGCGCGGGUGGCUGGCGAUUUUUCUCUUUUUUACUGCUGGAAGAGGUUAUUCUAUGCAAGAGAAAAAGCAGAAAAGCCUUUGUAAUUUUCACAGAGGUUUUGUGGAAUAUAGUGCCGAAAAAGCAAUUUGGGUUUUUGUUUGGUUUUUGUUUUGUAAUUGCAGAGUUUUUUUAGCAUUCGGGUGGAUGCUGGAUGCUCUUUCUUUAGUACAGAUUUAUGUCCUAAAGAGAUACUUGAUUUCUUUGACCAUAUCUGUGAUCAUAGCUUACAACUACUACCUAUACACACCUGUCUAUUUCUGCUGCAGCUUCCUGUCCUUGACCCAGCGAUACAUUGUGAAGUUCUCCUGA
rnacentral:lncRNA from 1 species